CCCCACGGCGUCCCCGCACCGUCACCGCGCUCCCAGCGCCGCGCGCUGGGAACCAAAGACUUCCCCCAAGUAAAGUUCAUCUCUACCCCCUGAACUCUCCACAAAAUCUAAAUCUACUCCCUGCCCAAAUCAACGCCCAUAUCUCCUCCGUUUGAACUCCGAUUUAGGUGAUUCUUGCGCCUAAAUUCCUCUAAGACCACGCUCUAUAAGAUCAUUUCUAUCAUCCCACUUCUCUUACGGCAUCGUUACAUUUUUCUCAAUGUACUGUUUACAAAAUUUAUUAUAUCAACAGUCUGAAAAAGUUAUACCGACUAUUUCGGGUAAACCUAAAAGUGAGUCCAAGGAUAAAGAGAAGAAGCAUAAAAAGCACAAAGACAAAGACAGGAAAAAGAUAAGGAGCAUAAGAAGAACAAACAUCGGCAUAAAGACCGGAGUAAGGACAAAGAUAAAGAGAAGGACAAGGAUAGGAAAAAAGAUAAAAGUGGGCAUCAUGAUUCUGGUGGCGAUUCAAAGAAACAUCAUGAGAAGAAGAGGAAGCACGAGGGAACAGAGGAUUCAGCGGAUGUGCAUAAGCACAAGAAGAGUAAGGUAGCACACUGCCAUUUUUCCUCUCUGAUAUGAUAUUUCUAUCAUAGAUUAAAUUUGUCAUUUUGUUAAUAUGGCUGUUCAAUUAUGGCAGCACAAGAGUUCCAAAAAUGACGAGAUGGGGAAUGGACUUAGCUAACUGCAUUUUCCUCCUAGUUCUAGCUAUCAGUUCUUGUAAUUUGCUGUUAAAUGGGAACUCCGAUGGUUUCUGUCAUCAAAACCUGGUGCCGAAUAGUGGUAUGUGCUUCUUUAGUUUGCUGUUUUUUUUCUCGAACCACGUAGGAGAGCUGCGUGUCAUUUCAUUAGGAAGAAACUGAAACAAGCCUUGAAGAGGUUUAAAACCUCUUAGGGCAAACAACAAACCACACCCAAGCACACACGAUGGGCAAGGGCCACACAUUAAGGCCCUGGGGAGGACCUCUGGAGGAGCUCCUGGAGUCCAGAAGCCUGGUCCUACACUACACCACAACAGCCCCUCACUAGCCACUGAGAGACAAACCUCUCUAACACUGUUGGGUUCUGUUUGUUUUCCUGCAACUUUGCUUUAUUUUGUGUUAGAUAUCUGACUUACAUAUCUGUCUGUCUUAGGGUGCUUUAUGUCUAUUGGUGAAAACAUGAAGAUGUAAACUUGUAAACGUUUCAGUUAGGCUAAGGUCACCGGUGGGCCUACAAAUGGGCAGGCAUACACUGUUUUACACUGUAGACUACACUGUUCACAGAAUGGAGUUUGAAAUAGGUGGUGGGAUAGAAGCCCUGGUGAGGUCAGCCUUAGAGAGCUUGCAUCUUUUAAGCCAAAUUUAAGAGGUUUUAUUUAACUAAUUGAGCUUAAUUGAUGAAUAGUUCAACCCUUGCGACUUUAUUUGUCCAUGCCUUGCCUUUUGCUUGACAUCCCUAUGAACCUAACGGUAUUCUCAUUUGAUUUUUAUCUGCAUCUCUGGAAUAUCCAAUUGUGCAAUGCCAUACAUAGCUGCUAUGAGAUUGUAUGCGGACACUUAUAUGUUGCUUUUAUGCUUAUCAAUCUUGAUGAACUCAUUAACAUGUCUUUUGGUAUGGUCUGACAUGCGUCAUAGUCUUUGAUGUAGGCUGUUUUGAAUGACUUCUCGCUAGACCACAACACAUGGAAUAUACCAAUAUAUUCCUGAAAACAUUUGCUUGAACGGAACUUUUCAUGCAUCAUAUAAAAACACACGUCAAUCACUAGUAUAGUAAUCAUUUUUUACAAAUAUGAUAUGAUAAAUCAGUCUUAAGCAAUCUGCCAACUUUUUAUGUUUAUUUGGAUGGUGCAGGUAUGAUGUACUGAAGCUGUUUUUGUUAGAACAUCCAAUGAGGUUGCUUUGCAGCGUCCAUUUUGAGGAUACUUAGGGACUAAUCCAUUGUACCAUGCAAAGAAUUGAUUGCAGAAAAAUUGGGAAAAUGGAAUGAGGCUUUUGACUGAACUCAUGCCGUAGCUUGAUUAGUGGUGGAUGUACAGUACAGGAUGUGGUCUGGUCUCUGGAGGUGUAGUUCAUGACAUGUAUUUGAAACAUAAGUUGGUUAUCUUCGUGCUGAUCUUAGUUCAUAGACAGUUGGGGUC